rnacentral:rRNA from 1 species
CGGAGGUCCCGAGCGUUGUUCGGAUUCACUGGGCGUAAAGGGUGCGCAGGUGGGUUGGCAAGUUCGAUGUGAAAGCCCCGGGCUUAACCCGGGAAUGGCAUUGGAAACUGCUGAUCUGGAGGAUCGGAGGGGGGACUGGAAUUCUUGGUGUAGCAGUGAAAUGCGUAGAUAUCAAGAGGAACACCAGUGGCGAAGGCGAGUCCCUGGACGAUACCUGACACUGAGGCACGAAAGCCAAGGGAGCAAACAGGAUUAGAUACCCUGGUAGUCUUGGCUGUAAACGGUGCGCAUUUGCUGUAAACGGAAUCGACCCCGUUUGUGGCGAAGCUAACGCGAUAAAUGCGCCGCCUGGGAAGUACGGUCGCAAGAUUA